CAGAACUUUACCACUACCCUGAAGCUACAUACCUAGCAACACUGGCAUCAGGCUUACUAGCGACAUACCCAUACCGAGCACGCAAUCAGGCUUGGACUCCUUAGCUUCAUUCUGAGUACCUAGAGGUCUCCUCCGAGCCUACUUAGCUGCAUUCUGUAACUCACACUUUGUUAAGUCUAAUAUUGGUCAGCUCCCGAACCACAUAAUAAGUAGGCAAACAACUACAAAGACAUAGCAAACAACCAACCGGAGUAGCUCUUUGAACUUAGCAGCCCCGAACACAGGACCACUGACUUAAGGCUUCUACCCAAUAGUUCCAUUCUGAAUCUACUAAGUUGGGUUCUUAAACUACUGGCUUUUAUUCUCAAACUACUUAGUUUCAUUCUUUCAUGACUUAGCCCGAGGUUAGAGUUUCUUCUUCCUUUUGGUCUGUAACUACUGAUUGGUAGGCACUUAUCAAUAAUACAUAGCGGUGUGGACUUCUGGUCAACUGAGUUAAGUAAGAGUGAAGGCUGGGAUUUACUGGGUUGAUUCCGAUACUGCUGAGUGGAAUUCUGAAACUAGAGCUUCAGGCUUGCUGGUACUGCUUUCAGGCUUGGAUUCACUGGUUGUAGCCCUGUUAGGUGGGGUUAGGCACUAGUUUGGUUGUUAGGUGCCUCAGUCCUUUAGUUAGUAGUUGAUGUCUGGUUGUUAGAUGCCUGGGUUGUUAGAUGCGCUAGUUUAAGUAUAGUCGCUAGGUGCCUUAGCCUGGUCGUUAGUGGGUUGGCUCUGAGUGGCACUGCUUUAAGCCUGCUCGGUAUUAGUUGCAUUCCGAGAAGCACUGGCUUCAGUCUUUGAGUUAGGUAUCUGAGUUUAGUUGUUAGUUGUUUCAGUCUAAGUAUACAUAGCACCAGUCCUGUUAGCACUGGGUUAAGGCUUAGAUGCAUUGGCUCCAUUCUCAGAUGCACCGGUUGAAGACAGAGUGACACCAGCAGCAGGCUUAGCAACACCAGUAUCAGCCUAGGAAGCACUUGUUUGCGUCCCGUUGGCACCGGGGUAAGGCUUGGAGUUACUGCUUGAAGUCUUGGAGUUACUGAUUUGAUUCUUUGACUCCUU
rnacentral:lncRNA from 1 species